AUCUAGAAAGGAUUCCGCAGUUGGUUCUCUCCAUUCGAGGGGCCGAAUGCUUUCGCACGGACGGCGGAAAACCCGGGCUGCAGGUGGAAUCAUUUUCUCUGACCAGCAAAGGUCUUUUUCUUAAGCACCCAAUCAUGAGCCUUCUUUCAAUUAUUUCCUGGGACUUGGAGCAUUAAGAAACAAUCCCCAGACAAUGCAGGCAGGAGGUAAAGCUCCAACUCUCGCAUGUUUGCUGAAAAGCUACAAGUGCUGUUCAGGUUAAAGUUGGUAGUAAAUCAAAUACUAGCAUAGGUUCUAGUCGAAAGUUGAAACGUGCAAUGCCAAACCCAAACAUUUCUGUUCCUCAAGUUGCAGGCACUCCUAUCAUCCCAUAUACAGAUCUACUUGCCUCGAUAUCAUGGAGACUAGCCGAACUCUGUUCUCUCUGUUGCCGCCAACGGUUUUUGGAUAAUACACACGUAAGGAUAGAUACCAUCACCCGAUUAUAGAUCCUUUCUAAAGAGGCACACUACGUCGAUGAUUCAAUCCCUUCUCGUUUAACCAUGUUUCUUUUGUAUGCAAUAUAGCAUGAUCAGUGCAAAUUUUCAGACGAAACCUCACCUCUGUGUAGAUUGGGCAUGUAGCAUGGAGUUUGCUGUUAAUCCCAGUCCCUAGAUUAGUAUGGUGAGAGAGGUUCAGGUGGCAGAUCAUGAUAACAUAACUUAUCAUCAAGAUCAGAAACGCUCUUCCCGCCAUGUUUCUCAUCAAAAUGUUGGGAGUUAGACCCGAGUAUCUCUCCUAUAUUUUCAUGCCUACGAACCAAAUAGAUGGCUAUAUAACCAACAACCCCCAAAUCCUCUUUCGUUUCUCAAGCAAAUAAGAUGUGGCUUUUACACAAAUUACUAGAAGUCCAUGGGUCAGGUGAAGUCCAUGGGUCAGGGGUUUUUUACCACGAAAUCUGUUUAUGAGUGGUUAGAAAAAGAUUUGUCAGGACCUGACUACAAGUUGAUCUGGAAAGCUAGGAUUCCUUUGAAAAUUAAAAUCUUCCUCUGGCAGCUGUUUCAGAAUGCCAUCCCUACUAGGGACAACUUGCGGAAAAGGAACUGGCCCGGGAACCCAACAUGUUCAUUUUGCCAUGAUAUUGAAUCUGCGGAUCAUCUUUUCUUUGGGUGUGUGUUUGCUCGGUCUGUUUGGGGGGCGAUUGGGUCAGCCCUGGGAGCAUCCUGCACUCCUAAAACCAUUUGGCAAAGUUGGGCAUGGCUCUAUAAAUAUCUUCCUGGUGGUAAAAAGCAUUACAUGACUAUUGUUGCUGCUGUCUGUUGGGGCAUUUGGUGCACUCGUAACAGGGUAACGUUUGACAAAUGUAUCAUUCGCUCCCCGUUGGAGGCUGUUUUCACUGCAUGCUCUUUUUUGAUGUAUUGGUCAGGUCUGCUGAAAGGGAUCGACAAGGAAAACGUCCAGGCUGGAGUGCAGAAGAUGGUGCGCGCGGCUGCUUCGUUGGCGGAUCGUUCUGCUACCAGGGGGAGGCUCAUGCUGGGAAAUGGUGCUUGAAGUUGUUCUGCCCAGUAGACUUAGAAGUUUGUGAUCUCACUGGGGUUUGAUGCCCGCUGAGAUGUUCGGUGGUUCCUUUUGGUGGUGGUGUCCCGUACUUGGCUUCCUGGUUUCGUGGGAUGUUCGUUUCGUGCUGUUCGCUUUGAGGAUGGGAUGGUUGGUGUCAACAGGUUUUUGCCCCGUGGUGGAUGACUCAUUUUAGAGUCAUUUGUUGCGGGUUUCCUGUUGAUGCUCCAACUCGCUCUCCCCUUUCGGUCUCCUUUUGCUUAGUCGUUUUCUAGUAGCCCAAUGGGCGAUGGCUGUAAAAACUACUGAGACUGCUGUAUUUCCGUUAAGCAAUUAAUGGAAAGGGGUGUGAGCCCGGUUGGAAAAAAAAAAGGUGUAUCCACUUUCUAAAACUAGCAACAUAUUUCUAAGUUAAUGAAAAAUUAUCAGUCUUCAAU
rnacentral:lncRNA from 1 species